UGGGGAAUAUUGGACAAUGGGCGCAAGCCUGAUCCAGCCAUGCCGCGUGAGUGACGAAGGCCUUAGGGUUGCAAAGCUCUUUUGGCGGGGAAGAUAAUGACGGUACCCGCAGAAUAAGCUCCGGCUAACUUCGUGCCAGCAGCCGCGGUAAUACGAAGGGAGCUAGCGUUGUUCGGAAUCACUGGGCGUAAAGCGCACGUAGGCGGACUUUCAAGUCAGGGGUGAAAUCCCGGGGCUCAACCUCGGAACUGCCUUUGAUACUGUUGGUCUCGAGUCCGGAAGAGGUGAGUGGAAUUCCUAGUGUAGAGGUGAAAUUCGUAGAUAUUAGAAAGAACACCGGUGGCGAAGGCGGCUCACUGGUCCGGUACUGACGCUGAGGUGCGAAAGCGUGGGGAGCAAAC
rnacentral:rRNA from 1 species